rnacentral:SRP_RNA from 1 species
GCUGAGCUCAGUAGCAUGAGUUUGUAACCCAAGUGGAAGCAGUAAGAUGAUUGGGACAAGACAAAUCUUCAACCCUUGACACAAAUAGUUCUGAAGAUUUGGCUUUUCCCGAUCAUCUUA